AACAUUCUUAUUUUUGGUGUAAAUAGCAGGCGUAGAGGCAAAUUUAAGCUACCCACUAGCAGGUACACCUCAAGCAUCAUAUAUAAUCCAUAACUUAGUAUUGUUCUCAAGAUUACCAAGCAAUCGAUAUAUGUAAUAUAACUCAGUAUCAUUGUCAAUAUUAUCAAGCUAUCGGAGGUAUUAUCUUACCACUGGGGAU
rnacentral:lncRNA from 1 species